UCGAAAAUGUUGUCUCUCUUGAGUGGAUCCUGAGUACGACGGAGCACGUGAAAUUCCGUCGGAAUCUGGGAGGACCAUCUCCUAAGGCUAAAUACUCUCUAGUGACCGAUAGUGAACCAGUACCGUGAGGGAAAGGUGAAAAGCACCCCGGAAGGGGAGUGAAAUAGAACCUGAAACCGUGUGCUUACAAGUAGUCAGAGCCCGUUAAUGGGUGAUGGCGUGCCUUUUGUAGAAUGAACCGGCGAGUUACGAUUUGAUGCAAGGUUAAGCAGUAAAUGUGGAGCCGUAGCGAAAGCGAGUCUGAAUAGGGCGUUUAGUAUUUGGUCGUAGACCCGAAACCAGGUGAUCUACCCUUGGUCAGGUUGAAGUUCAGGUAACACUGAAUGGAGGACCGAACCGACUUACGUUGAAAAGUGAGCGGAUGAACUGAGGGUAGCGGAGAAAUUCCAAUCGAACCUGGAGAUAGCUGGUUCUCUCCGAAAUAGCUUUAGGGCUAGCCUCAAGUGAUGAUUAUUGGAGGUAGAGCACUGUUUGGACGAGGGGCCCCUCUCGGGUUACCGAAUUCAGACAAACUCCGAAUGCCAAUUAAUUUAACUUGGGAGUCAGAACAUGGGUGAUAAGGUCCGUGUUCGAAAGGGAAACAGCCCAGACCACCAGCUAAGGUCCCAAAAUAUAUGUUAAGUGGAAAAGGAUGUGGCGUUGCCCAGACAACUAGGAUGUUGGCUUAGAAGCAGCCAUCAUUUAAAGAGUGCGUAAUAGCUCACUAGUCGAGUGACACUGCGCCGAAAAUGUACCGGGGCUAAACAUAUUACCGAAGCUGUGGAUUGUCCUUUGGACAAUGGUAGGAGAGCGUUCUAAGGGCGUUGAAGCAUGAUCGUAAGGACAUGUGGAGCGCUUAGAAGUGAGAAUGCCGGUGUGAGUAGCGAAAGACGGGUGAGAAUCCCGUCCACCGAUUGACUAAGGUUUCCAGAGGAAGGCUCGUCCGCUCUGGGUUAGUCGGGUCCUAAGCUGAGGCCGACAGGCGUAGGCGAUGGAUAACAGGUUGAUAUUCCUGUACCACCUAUA
rnacentral:rRNA from 1 species